rnacentral:rRNA from 1 species
GACGAACGCUGGCGGCGUGCUUAACACAUGCAAGUCGAACGAAGAGCGAUGGAAGCUUGCUUCUAUCAAUCUUAGUGGCGAACGGGUGAGUAACGCGUAAUCAACCUGCCCUUCAGAGGGGGACAACAGUUGGAAACGACUGCUAAUACCGCAUACGAUCUAAUCUCUGCAUCGAGGAUAGAUGAAAGGUGGCCUCUACAUGUAAGCUAUCACUGAAGGAGGGGAUUGCGUCUGAUUAGCUAGUUGGAGGGGUAACGGCCCACCAAGGCGAUGAUCAGUAGGCGGGCUGAGAGGAUGAACGGCCACAUUGGGACUGAGACAAGGCCCAGACUCCUACGGGAGGCAGCAGGGGGGAAUCUUCCGCAAUGGACGAAAGUCUGACGGAGCAACGCCGCGUGAGUGAUGACGGCCUUCGGGUUGUAAAGCUCUGUUAAUCGGGACGAAAGGCCUUCUUGCGAAUAGUGAGAAGGAUUGACGGUACCGGAAUAGAAAGCCACGGCUAACUACGUG